ensembl:snRNA U2 U2 spliceosomal RNA
AUUGAUUCUCAACCAUUUGAGUAAGAUACAGUGUAAUAUCUGUUCGUAUCAGUUUAAUAUCUGAUAUGUCUUCUAUCCAAGGAUAAUAUAGUACAUGGGUUUUUGAUUAGGGAGAUGGAAUGGGAUCUUGCUCCAUCCACUACAUGCAUCAACCUGCUAUUGUAGUACAUGUAGGAAUGGUGCACCCCCU